GAUGAACGCUGGCGGCGUGCCUAAUACAUGCAAGUCGAACGAGUGGCGAACGGGUGAGUAACACGUGGGAAACCUACCCUUCAGCGGGGGAUAACCAUCGGAAACGAUGACUAAUACCGCAUACUGAAGGAUGGUUCCGCGGUGCAUUAGCUAGAAGGGGGGGGAACGGCCUACCGUGGCUUUGAUGCAUAGCCGACCUGAGAGGGUGAUGGGCCACAGUGGGAUGGAUACACGGCCCAAACUCUGACGGGAGGCAGCAGGAGGGAAGCGCCCGCAAUGGACGCAAGUCUGACGGAGCAACGCCGCGUGUGUGAAGAAGGUCUUCGGAUCGUAAAGCACUGUUAUCAGAGAAGCGGUACCUAAUCAGAAAGCCACGGCUAACUCCGUGCCAGCAGCCGCGGUAAUAC
rnacentral:rRNA from 1 species